GCUAGCAACGAUAACACGUUGAAUGCAAGAGUUCCCCAUGGAUCAUUGAAGUCAAUCAACGUUGUCCGUGGUUAGUAUCCACAUGGGUGACCAUUUGGGCAAUCGUCUCAACUUUUUGGCA
rfam:Asian citrus Psyllid, Diaphorina citri - Florida Strain, whole genome shotgun sequence.